UACGAAGGGGCUAGCGUUGCUCGGAAUCACUGGGCGUAAAGCGCACGUAGGCGGAUUGUUAAGUCAGGGGUGAAAUCCUGGAGCUCAACUCCAGAACUGCCUUUGAUACUGGCGAUCUCGAGUCCGGGAGAGGUGAGUGGAACUGCGAGUGUAGAGGUGAAAUUCGUAGAUAUUCGCAAGAACACCAGUAGCGAAGGCGGCUCACUGGCCCGGUACUGACGCUGAGGUG
rnacentral:rRNA from 1 species